rnacentral:rRNA from 1 species
UACGAAGGGUGCAAACGUUGCUCGGAAUCAUUGGGCGUAAAGCGCACGUAGGCGGCCUUGUAAGUCGGAUGUGAAAUCCCACAGCUUAACUGUGGACGUGCAUUCGAAACUGUAAGGCUCGAGUAUGGAAGAGGGUCGCAGAAUUCCCGGUGUAGAGGUGAAAUUCGUAGAUAUCGGGAGGAAUACCAGUGGCGAAGGCGGCGACCUGGGCCAAUACUGACGCUGAGGUGCGAAAGCGUGGGGAGCAAACAGG